rnacentral:rRNA from 1 species
CGGUAGAGGGGGCAACCCCUUGAGAGUGGCGAACGGGUGAGUAAUAUAUCGGAACGUGCCCAGUCGUGGGGGAUAACGUAGCGAAAGUUACGCUAAUACCGCAUACGAUCUACGGAUGAAAGCGGGGGACUCGCAAGAGCCUCGCGCGAUUGGAGCGGCCGAUAUCAGAUUAGGUAGUUGGUGGGGUAAAGGCUCACCAAGCCAACGAUCUGUAGCUGGUCUGAGAGGACGACCAGCCACACUGGAACUGAGACACGGUCCAGACUCCUACGGGAGGCAGCAGUGGGGAAUUUUGGACAAUGGACGCAAGUCUGAUCCAGCCAUUCCGCGUGCAGGAUGAAGGCCCUCGGGUUGUAAACUGCUUUUGUACGGAACGAAAAGGUUUCUAUUAAUACUAGGAGCUCAUGACGGUACCGUAAGAAUAAGCACCGGCUAACUACGUGCCAGCAGCCGCGGUAAUACGUAGGGUGCAAGCGUUAAUCGGAAUUACUGGGCGUAAAGCGUGCGCAGGCGGUUACGUAAGACAGAGGUGAAAUCCCCGGGCUCAACCUGGGAACUGCCUUUGUGACUGCAUAGCUAGAGUACGGUAGAGGGGGAUGGAAUUCCGCGUGUAGCAGUGAAAUGCGUAGAUAUGCGGAGGAACACCGAUGGCGAAGGCAAUCCCCUGGACCUGUACUGACGCUCAUGCACGAAAGCGUGGGGAGCAAACAGGAUUAGAUACCCUGGUAGUCCACGCCCUAAACGAUGUCAACUGGUUGUUGGGUCUUCACUGACUCAGUAACGAAGCUAACGCGUG